AAACUAAAUGAAUUGACGGGGACCCGCACAAGCGGUGGAUGAUGUGGAUUAAUUCGAUGCAACGCGAAAACCUUACCUACCCUUGACAUGUCAGGAAUCCCGGAGAGAUUUGGGAGUGCUCGAAAGAGAGCCUGAACACAGGUGCUGCAUGGCUGUCGUCAGCUCGUGUCGUGAGAUGUUGGGUUAAGUCCCGCAACGAGCGCAACCCUUGUCAUUAAUUGCCAUCAUUCAGUUGGGCACUUUAAUGAGACUGCCGGUGACAAACCGGAGGAAGGUGGGGAUGACGUCAAGUCCUCAUGGCCCUUAUGGGUAGGGCUUCACACGUCAUACAAUGGUCGGUUCAGAGGGUUGCCAACCCGCGAGGGGGAGCCAAUCUCAGAAAGCCGAUCGUAGUCCGGAUCGCAGUCUGCAACUCGACUGCGUGAAGUCGGAAUCGCUAGUAAUCGCGGAUCAGCAUGUCGCGGUGAAUACGUUCCCGGGUCUUGUACACACCGCCCGUCACACCAUGGGAGCGGGUUCUGCCAGAAGUAGUUAGCCUAACCGCAAGGAGGGCGAUUACCACGGCAGGGUUCGUGACUGGGGUGAAGUCGUAACAAGGUAGCCGUAGGGGAACCUGCGGCUGGAUCACCUCCUUUCUG
rnacentral:rRNA from 1 species